AUUGAACGCUGGCGGCAUGCUUUACACAUGCAAGUCGAACGGUAACAGGCCGCAAGGUGCUGACGAGUGGCGAACGGGUGAGUAAUGCAUCGGAACGUGCCCAGUCGUGGGGGAUAACUACUCGAAAGAGUAGCUAAUACCGCAUACGAUCUAUGGAUGAAAGCGGGGGACCGUAAGGCCUCGCGCGAUUGGAGCGGCCGAUGUCAGAUGAGGUAGUUGGUGGGGUAAAGGCUCACCAAGCCAACGAUCUGUAGCUGGUCUGAGAGGACGACCAGCCACACUGGGACUGAGACCCGGCCCAGACUCCUACGGGAGGCAGCAGUGGGGAAUUUUGGACAAAGGGCGCAAGCCUGAUCCAGCAAUGCCGCGUGCAGGAAGAAGGCCUUCGGGUUGUAAGCUGCUUUUGUACGGAACGAAACGGCUCUGGUUAAUACCCGGGGAUAAUGACGGUACCGGAAGAAUAAGCACCGGCUAACUACGUG
rnacentral:rRNA from 1 species